CGCGCACGCUCUGGCCGCCCCCGGGGAAGCCGCGCGCGUGACGCGGGGCUGGGGGCCAGAUCCCGGCCCUGCCUGGGACUCUGCGGGGCCCGCGGGAAGCUCUGUUUCGGCGGCGGCGGGACGCCCUGGGCCCAUCUGAGAGAUGCCGGUGCCAGCCUUCCAGAUGGGAUCCUGAGGUUCAACGAAGUUAAGAGACUUACCUAAGGUCAUGUAGUAGACAUGGCUAAAGUGGGAUUUGAUUCCAGAUUAUAUGGCUCCAAGGAUGCUUGAUGAGCAGUGCCAGGUCUGCACCUGGGAUCCGAACCCAUGAACCCCAGGCCACCGAAGCAGAGCACACUAACUCAACCACUACACCACUGGGCCGGCCCCUGGAUGACCAUUUUAAAUUGUCAGUAAUCACACGGAACCAGUAUAAUCAUCUCGAUCACAUCCUUUAAGUGUGUAAGGACUUCCAGUAUGAUGUUGAAUAGAAGUGGUGAAAGUGGGCACACUUUCCUUUUUCCAAAUCCUACAGGAAAAGCUUUCACUUUUUCACCAUUGAGUAUUAUGCUCCCUGUAGGCCUUUCACAUAUGGCCUUUAUUAUGGUCAGACUUACUCCAAAGAGAAAGGUAUUGAAGGAAGAGAAUACUGGCCCCCCAGUACAUAGUUGUAUAUUCUUCGUUGUGGGUUCUUCUAGUUGUGGCACGUGGGACGCCGCCUCAGCGUGGCUCGAUGAGCAGUGCCAUGUCCGUGCCCAGGAUUCGAAACAACGAAACACUGGGCCGCCUGCAGCGGAGCGUGUGAACUCAGCCACUCAGCCACGGGGCCAGCCCUUCAACAAGGAUUUUUGAAAGUUUUCUAGUUAAUUCUAAGUUAACAAAAAAAUGUUUCAAGGUGUCUGGAUACCUUAUUUCUCUAGAGUUUAUCAAGGUUUUAUUUCAGUGAUUCAAGGCUUUAAGUUGAAGCAGAAACGUAUAUCUGAGCUAGAAUAAUGGAGAAGAUUCUUCAUUACACGUUUCAGUAAUCAAAUAAUUAGGAAGAAAAUGUUAUUUUAAAAGUAAUCAUUUUGCAAUAUAUCAAAUCAUUAUGUUGUACACCUUAAACCUGUACAAUGUUAUAAAGUCAAUUGUAUCUCAAUAAAACUGGGGAAAAAAAGUCAGGAAUAGGAAAAAGACUAAUAUAGGUAUUGCAUGAAAACAAUCAGAAAGCACUCAAUAAACACAUUUUGUUCUCUGGAAGAAAAUUUGUGAUUCUGUAAGGUCUUUUUUUAAGUUUUCUGAUAAAAGGUAAUAAAUAUUUAUUGAGGAAAGCUUGAAAAAUAUAAAGAGAUGAAUAAAUACCACCCAAAUUUCACUACUCAGAUAUGACUGCUGUUAAUAUUAUGGUAGUGUCUUUCAAAGUUUCUUAGCCUCUCCAAACUUCAGUUUCCUUAUUUGUCAAAUGAGAUUAAUAAUAGUACCAACUUCAUAAGGUUAUUCUGAGAAUUACAUAGGUAAAACAUAUGAAAGCUUAAUGUUUGAUACAGAAUAAGCACACACACAAAAAGGUUAGCUGUCACUAAUUUCAAUGCCUAUCUCCAUUUUUUUAGUUUUAUAAACCAGGGUCAUACUUACCUUUUGUUUCACAUCAUGAUAUUUUCAUUAAAAAUAUUAUGACAUUUCAGGGGCCAGCACGGUUGUGUAGUGGUUAAAUUCGUGUGCUCUGCUUUGGCGGCUAGGGGUUCACAGGUUCGGAUCCUGAGCAUGGACCUACAUGCCACUCAUCAAGCCAUGCUGUGGCGCUGUCCCAUGUACAAAAUAGAGGAAGAUUGGCACAGAUUUAGCUCAACAGCAAUCUUCAUCACCACACACACACACACAGAAAAAAAUAUAUAUAUAAUGAAUAUUUCCUAGGUCAUUAAAAUUCUUUACAAUAUAUUUUUAAUAGCUUCAUAAUCUAGUAUUCUAUCUUGUGGAGCAGUAGUUCUCAAUCAGGUGCUAUUUUGCCCCCAGUGGACAUUUGGCGAUGUCUAGAGACAUUUUUGAUUGGCACAAAUGGGGAAGUGAGGUACUACUGGCAUCUAAUGAGUCAAGGUCAGAGGUGCUGCUGCACAUCCUACAAUGCACGGGACAGUCUCCCACAACAAAGAAUUCUCCAACUCAAAAUAUAAAAAUUGCUGCAAUUGACGAACCCAAGGAUGUAUCAAGAUUUUUUUUUUAAACCAAGCCAUUCUUAUUAAACGUUUAAAUAAAUUUUAUUAUUAUUAUAAGUAACACUGGAAUGAAAAUCCUUGUAGUUCCUGUUUUCUGAGGCUGUUUUGUGGUCUGCAUGAUAAUUUACUUUCAAUUGCAUCAAUAUAAGCAUUUUGGUGUGUGUAUGUGUGUGCAGACUUGCACUUAAGAGCAUAAGGCAAAUUAUCCCUAAUCCAUAUCCUGGGACAAUUAAUUAGCAUUUGAAAUGUCCUAAAAGGGAUCAAUAUUUUAUGAGUCGAUUAUUUGAUUCUUAAAUUAUUCUUAUUGAUAGUUACACCACAGGGUAUGUUAUUUAAUACUAAUGUAGAAGUAUUAUUUUGACCUUGGGCAUGUUAUCCAGCAGGUCAGUUUGAAGAUCCGGAAACUGAUCCCCAGAGGUAUAGAUACCUCAGUUUGAAGACUAUUGAGUUAGACCAAAGAGAGGCUGGUGCCCCAAGAAAAGGGAUUUUCAAUUUAUCCCAUAGACCAGAGUUUCUCAACUUCCACACUGUUGACAUUUUGGAAAAUUUGGGGAAAUUCCUUGUUAUUGAGAGGGAGGUCAUCCUCUGCAGUGCAGCAAAGAAUGUUUAGCAGCAUCCCUGGCCUUUAACCACUAGAUGCCAGGCAGGAGCAGCCUCCCCCACCCAGUUGCAACACCAAAAUGCCUCCAGAUAUUGCCAAAUUUCCCCUCGGGAAUGAAAUCACUCGCAGUUGAGCAACAUUGCCCUAGAGAAAAGGUAAAUCAUUGAGUGGUUUGAAGCAGUAAGACACAAUCAAAAUUGCAGGGCUAUUUUUAUUGCUUUUAGAAGCAAUUGCAAUGUUAAUAUGGAGACAGGCCUAAUAAAUUUUUCAAAGAACUGGUAAAAAAGGAAGAAUCUUUGGGGACAUUUGCCUGUCCAAUAUCAAAACACAUUCUAAAGCUUUAUUAUUUAAACUUGGGUACUAAUGUAGGAAUUAAUAAAGAGAUCUAAGAAAUGGAAAAAACAGUCCAGAAAUAGGUUAAUGUUAGAAAGAAUAGCAAAAUAAGCAUUCUCACUCAAUAUGAUGGUAUCAUG
rnacentral:lncRNA from 1 species